UUUUUUUUUUUUUUUUUUGGUUAAACCGAAAAGGAAGUAAAUUUUGAUAAAUUGCAUGUUUUCUUGGAAUUCUCACACAGCUGACAGAAUGAAUAACAUUACUUUUACUAUCUUGAUCAUAGCAUGAAAACAUAAAGCUACAGUUUAUCACUCACUGUGAUCCAGAAAUAUUGCAAAAAGAUUUCAAUAGGUCUCAUUUAAUUGGUCCAGCUAGAUAAUGAGGCUGAUAUUAUUACUUUUAUUUUAAGAUGAGCUCUUUGAGAGAGGGACCAAGUAAGCUUGUUCUAAGUUCACUGUUGUGACAAGAGCCCACAAUUAAAUGAUUUGAUGUGGAAAUUAGUUUGAAAUUAAGGUAAGAAAAAUAAAGGUCAAGUGUUGGCUCAUGUGACAUUUCUGGGUGAGUCUGUUAGCAUAAAAUCCUAGAUUUCUAUUUUAAACUGUGUAAAUGUCCUUAUUAGAUGGAUUGUGUGAAUCCUGAGGCAUAUCAUCCUGCUUUCUCUAAGAAUUCCCCUCUUUAAGAAAACUGAAAGCUGAGUGGAGUCACAAUGAUAUGGUCACUCAUGUACCAUUUUGGUACAUAUUUUUGAAGCUUCAUACCUUUGAAUCACCAUGCAAAGUCAGUUGCGAGUGCUGGAGAAUGACAAGCUAUGGUCUCUUUCAGGAAACCGAAAAGUUAAGUGGGUGUAUAUGAUUCAUUAUGACAAAGUGCAAAAGGCAGCGAAAGGAAUGAUUAUGAGAGCACGUAAUGAGGUACUUACCCCGGGGACAUUUUCCCACGGAAAUGUUUAAUAAAUCUGCAAACUGAAGAACUGAAUAGGAGAUAGCUAAGAGAAAAAGUGAGGUGUUUGAGAUGGAAGGAGAAGUGUUCCAUUUGAAGGACACUUGCAUUAAUUUAUGCCCAAAGAAAAGAAACUCUGUCGUGUAGUUAGGAAACCAUGGCUUGAGCACAAGUCAUGAAAGGAGAAGUAUGAGAAAAUAACUUUCUAAUGAACACAAGGGCUUUUUGUUAUACUCUGUGGAUUUAGAUAUCCUAACCCAUAUCCCUGUUAACUUAUGAAGACCUGUAUCUGAUAGCUGAUACCACACAUAAGAUACAGUCGUAUGGUUUUACAUGGUGUUUAGGGAGUUGCCAUGUGAGGGGAGAGAGAGCACAGAGAGUUAUUUUAAUUCCACUGAGGAAAAGGGAAUUUAUUUUUCUUUUCCAAAAGAAAAACCCUUUUUCAUUGGACCAAUAUUUAGAAGACAGAAAUGAGUGACUCAUUGACUGGAUGUGAAAAGAGAAGAAAAAGCCCCUUCAAAGUCUCUUGAGACAGUCACUACGUCACUCAAUAGAAGGAACUGUCUCAAGUGACUCAUAUAAAAGUAAUAUAAUCAACGAUAUGAAAUUACUCAAAUGAGCUCACUGACAGCAAUAGCUCAUACACAUGUAUUCCCAUUUGACCGCUGCCCACAGUCCCCUUGGACCUUUCUGCCUUUGACAACAGAAUGGAUAGUAGAUGUAUUUAAUGAAAGAGGAAUGCAUUUGAGGAGAGAGAUGGAAAAAUAACACAGUCUUUGGAGCAAAAUAAGCCAAAUAAAAUAACACGUCUUUAGCCUGGUAGUUGCUUGACUUUACAUAUAUGUGGUAGACAGAACAGUGGUUCCCCCCAAAUAUGUGGUGUUCUAACCCUACAAACCUGUGGAUAUGUUACCUUACAUAAAAAAAAAAAUUAAAAAGAGUCUUUGAAAAUGUAGCUAAAUUAACAAUCUUGAGAUGGGGAGAUUAUCCUGGAUUAGCUGGGUGGGCCUAAUUUAAUCACAUGGCUCCUUCAUAGAGGAAAGUGUAACUGAGCAGAAUGCUGUGAGGGCUUCCCAGAGUGGAUCCCCACUCAAGUCGUCCACCUGCCUUUUAAUCUAUAGAAAAACUUUAGUCAAAGAAUCAAUUUAAUCAGACAAGUGAGAAAAUACAAAGAAAAAGGAACACCACCAAGCAAGACAGAUUAGUAGUUGAACCACUCCACAAAGUCAAGGACUUUAAGUAGGUCUUCUUCAAGGAUUAUAGGUAGGAGUUCCCAUCGUGGCUCAGGGGUUAACGAAUCUGGCUAGGAACCAUGAGGUUGCAGCUUCAAUCCCUGGCCUUGCUCAGUGGGUUAAAGAUCCAGUGUUGCUGUGAGUUGUGGUGUAGGUCACAGACGUGGCUUGGAUCCCACAUUGCUGUGGCUGUGGUGUAGGCCGGUGGCUGCAGCUCCGAUUGGACCCCUAGCCUGGGAACCUCCAUAUGUGACAGGAGUGGUCCAAGAAAAUGGAAAAAAUACAAAAAAAAAAAAAAAGAGAGAGAGAUUAUAGGUAAUAUUCUAAGCCAUGUCCUUGAAGUUGUUUUGCAGGUGCUAAAGCCCCCACUAGGCGGAAGAAGUUAACUGGCUGCUACCCACAAGCACAUAGACGCUAGACCUUUGGAACCAGAAGGCUGAUGCUGCUGACUCCCAAUUACCUCACCACUAACCAGUCAGGGAAAUAUCCAGGAGCUUAUCACACCCCGGUCCUUGAACACAGUAAGACUCCUCAGUACCCCCUCCAAGGCGGGCACAGUCCUUUUUGCCUGGCAAUUAAACUACAUUUUCUGUUUCCUCCAACUCUGUCUCCAUGUUUCUAUUUGGCAUCGGUGUACAGAGGCAGCUGAUAUUUCAGCAAUAAAAGCAAUAGUGUCACAGUCAGAGAGACAUGUGAAGAUGUUAUGCUAUUGGCUUUGAAGAUGGAGCAAAAGGCCACAGCUGAGGAUUGCAGGUCACCUCUAGAAGCUGUGAAGGACAAGGAAACAGCUUCUGCACUGUGCUCUCCAGAAGGAACCCGGCUCUACCAAUACCUUGACUUUUGCUCAAUAAGAUCCAUUUUUAACCACUGACUUUCAGAACUACAAUAUAAUAAUUUGGGUUGGUUUUAGACCACAAAGUUUGGUAAUUUAUUAUAUAAAUUAUCUCAGCCUAUUAGUUAAAUCCUCUCACAAUCUAUGGUGACAGGUAUACACAGAAGGAGAAAACCCAUGAUUUAGGUAAAGGUAUUCAAACAACUUCAGCUGUCAGCAUACUUAUUAUUCAGCUACCAAUAAUGUUACCCAACCAAACUUGGGUCUGCUGGCCCAUAUGCAUAUGGUCAAUCUAUAAAUACCACAUUAUGGAGGGAGGAAAGUACAGUGUUUAUUGUACGUGCCAGACAAGGGGUCUGGGGCUGCUAAUGCUCAAAGAACCCAAACUCCCUGAUGGGUUUCAGGAAAGCAUUUUAAAGGCUGGGGUCAUGUGAUCUCAGCAUGAUACCCGUGGUCUUCUGGGUUAUCAUAUCUUGAUUUUUCCUAAAAGAAAAAUACUUGCCAAAACAACAUAUUCAUCAGAGAUUAGAACAAUCUAGGAAAGUCCCUUAAAAAAAAAUGCUUUUUCAGGAAAGCAUUUUAAAGGCCAAGAAUUUAUCAGGCACAAUGCUUGAUAGUGAGGUCACAGGGCGGGUUCAUGGGGGUUACCACUAUGAAUCUGCGUUUCCAGUAGGUCUGGGUGCUAAAUGCUCAUAGACUUCAAGUAGUUAACGUCUUCCAUUUGGUGGAGAUUUUAGUAUCUAUAAAACAACUCAGGAAAUGUGCAUUAGAUACUGUUAUCCAGGUAUAUAAUAUACUAGGAGUAUCUAGUAUGUUCCUACUUCAGAGAGGAAUUGAAGGUUCUGUGACUGCCAUAUGGCUAAUUUACUGAAUGGGAAAAAGAGAAGAAAAAGCUCCUUCAGAUUAACCAUCACUCAAUAGCAAUGACUGUCUCAAGUGAUUCAUAUAAAAGUAAUAUAAUCAAUGAUAUGGAAUUGUACAAAUGAGCUCACUCCCAGCAAAAGUUCAUGCAAAUUUAUUCCCAUUUGACCCCAUUUGGUACCAGUUCUCUUGGACCAACUGCUACUUUUUGUAGUUAUCACUGCAUGUUUACAUUCUUUCAAUCAUUAGCUCUUGAGCCAGACUUUUGUGACUCAGGGGAGGCCUCGGAGACCAUAGCUUUUCCACAAACAAGAGGUAGGCUGAGGACGAGGCGGAAGGCGUUGUUGCCAAAACAACUUGGCCUCUGUCCGCCACUGUGGAAUAGAAACUCAGAGACAGAGUUUGGGGGGAAGGAGAAGAAAGUUUUUAUUGCUUUGCCAGGCAAAGGAGGCCACGGCAGGCUAAUGCCUUAAAGAUUGCGUCCUCCAUUGAAAGAAUUGUAGGGAGUUUUACAGUAAAAAGGAGAAAAACAGGGUUCCAGAUAACAAUCAGGGUGAGGACAAAUAUGCAUUUGUUGGGAGAAUGUUAGUCAUUAAAGCUGGGGUCAUGUGAUCUCAGCAUGAUACCCGUGGUCUUCUGGUUAUCAUAUCUUGAUUUUUCCUGAAAGAAAAAUACUUGCCAAAAGGACAUAGUCAUCAGAGAUUAGAACAAUCUAGGAAAGUCCCUUAAGAAAAAAUCAUGUGCUUAUAAUCUUUGACCCAGAGACAGUUGAACUCAGGGCGCCUAAUCUGUAGCUCAUGGGUAGUUGUGUUUAGGGUGCAAUUAAGCCAGGGAAGGGAAGCACAAGGAAGGGCUCUAAGCUAUUUUUUAAACUGGUCGUUUCUAGAAGACACAGAAGGAAAUAUAUGUAUCUAUUUACUUUUUAGGACUGCCCAUGUGGCAUAUGGAGGUUUCUAGGCUAGAGGUAAAAUCGUAACUGCAGCCACUAGCCUAAACCACAGCCACAGCAAUGGAGGAUCCAAGCUGUGUCUGUGACCUACAUCACAGUUCAUGGCAACCCCGGAUCCUUAGCCUGCUGAGCGAGGCCAGGGAUCGAACCCACGUCCUCAUGGAUACUAGUUGGAUUCAUUUCCACUGCGCUACAGUGGGAACUCCUGGCAUAUAUCUUUUCUCUUAGGUGUAUGAGGUGCCUGCAUCAGUGUAUGUCCCAGGAAGGCUUUAUAGGAUCUUGCUCAGUUAUAGUUAUUCAUACUUGCUUAAGGAAAUGUUAUGUACUUUAGUACCUAAAAUCUUCCUGGUAAAGCUUUAAUCUGGAGAAUCAACCUUUUUUUUUUUUUUUUUUCCCAAGGCUCAGAUAAAGAUGUGCCCGCUAAGUGUACACUUGCAAGAGAUUAUUCUGAUUGACCAGUGCCUGGGUUUAAAUACUCUGAAUACUAGUGUCUCUUCAAGCAUAGCAGAAAUGAUACAUUUCAUCCUAGUGCAUCAUGAAAAGGAUCUCAGAGAAAUAAGUGAGGCCUGCUAAGGAAAGCGAUACUAUUAGGUAGCUCAGUAGAGAAAAGUACACUCUUCAAGAAGCAAGAACACAGAGCAUGAACAGUCAGUGGGGAAUUGUGACUAGGCUCAAAAAUGAUUCUGUGUGAAAGAUCAGCUGGUUGGACAUGCAGACGGUGCAUGCACAGUUCUCCAUGCUGAAAAGGACCCCCUACUUGCCUUAAUGCCCUGCCAUCAAUGUCUUGGAAUUAUUAAUAAUUUUUCAACAAAGCACUCCACAUUUUAAAUUUUGCACUUGACCCUGCAAAUUAGGUAGCUUGUUCUGACUCUAUGUGCAUGAAAGGGGUGGCCUGGUUUUUUGCUUCAUCUAAUAGAGAUUUUAUCAUACACAGUUUUUGCAGGAAAUACUUCAUCUCAGAUAGAGGUAUCUGCUGGGUUUUUUUGACUUGUCACUAACCUCAAAUGAGUCACCCCAUGCUGUGUACAUAUCUGGCCCUAGCACACUUUUCAAAUCUUUUGAUCACACAAUCUCUUGCCUAACCUAUUGAUCCUUUUUGUAGAUCAAAAAAGUAGAAAUGAGAAAUAAGAAAUUUAGCAGGUAACCAGACUUUUCCCCUAACUUCCUUUUUCGUGACCUCAGGAACAAACUGUGUGAACAAGAAGUCGACCAGCCUGUCCAGAGUAGAGGACUCUGACUCCCAUCUCAAUGAAUAACUGAGAUAACUUCAUUUUUUCAUCUUCAAAACUCUCAUGGCGGUUGCGGGUUCGGUCCCUGGCCUUGCUCAGUGGGUUAAGGAUCCGGUGUUGCCGUGAGCUGAGGUGUAGGUGGCAGACACGGCUCAGAUCCCUCAUGGCUGUGGCAUAGGCCAGCAGCUACAGCUCCGAUUAGACCCCUAGCCUGGGAACAUCCAUGUGCUGUGGGAGCAGCCCUAGAAAAAGCAAAAGGACAAAAACCCUCUCAUGGCUGAGCAGAAUCUUUGGUGGUGGUUUUACAGGCACACUGUGUCCACCCUCAUCCCAGACUGCUGGCAUUCUGAUGAAGAGCAGCUUUCCUUUCCCCCAACAUUUGCCUCCCUUGAAUAUUGAGUUUUGCAGUGUUGAGCAGCUGGACCUGAUUCAGUACCGUUAUUUUAAAAGUCAACUUAAAAAAAAUUUUUUUUCAGGGAGUUCCUAGAGGCCUAGUGGUUAAGGAUCUGGCAUUGUCACUGCUGUGGCACAGGUUCAGUCCCUGGCCCAGGAGCUUCAAAACACAGGUGUGGGAGUUCCCGUCGUGGUGCAGUGGUUAACGAAUCUGACUAGGAACCAUGAGGUUGCGGGUUCGGUCCCUAUCCUCACUCAGUGGGUUAACGAUCUGGCGUUGCCGUGAGCUGUGGUGUGGGUUGCAGACGUGGCUCAGAUCCCGCGUUGCUGUGGCUCUGGCGUAGGCUGGAGGCUACAGCUCCGAUUCGACCCCUAGCCUGGGAACCUCCAUAUGCCGUGGGAGCAGCCCAAGAAAUAGCAAAAAGACAAAAAAAAAAAAAAA
ensembl:lncRNA